rnacentral:rRNA from 1 species
UGGGGAAUAUUGCACAAUGGGCGCAAGCCUGAUGCAGCAACGCCGCGUGAGGGAUGACGGCCUUCGGGUUGUAAACCUCUUUUAGCAGGGAAGAAGCGAAAGUGACGGUACCUGCAGAAAAAGCGCCGGCUAACUACGUGCCAGCAGCCGCGGUAAUACGUAGGGCGCAAGCGUUGUCCGGAAUUAUUGGGCGUAAAGAGCUCGUAGGCGGUCUGUCGCGUCUGCUGUGAAAUCCCGAGGCUCAACCUCGGGCUUGCAGUGGGUACGGGCAGACUAGAGUGCGGUAGGGGAGAAUGGAAUUCCUGGUGUAGCGGUGGAAUGCGCAGAUAUCAGGAGGAACACCGAUGGCGAAGGCAGUUCUCUGGGCCGUAACUGACGCUGAGGAGCGAAAGCGUGGGGAGCGAACAG